AAGUCGAACGCGAAAGUCCCCUUCGGGGGACAAGUAGAGUGGCGCACGGGUGAGUAACACGUAGGUAAUCUACCUUCGGGUGGGGAAUAACCCAGGGAAACUUGGGCUAACACCGCAUAAUGCAGCGGCACCACAUGGUGACAGUUGUUAAAGCGGGGGAUUUUAGGACCUCGCGCCUGAAGAGGAGCCUGCGGCAGAUUAGCUAGUUGGUAAGGUAACGGCUUACCAAGGCGACGAUCUGUAACCGGCCUGAGAGGGCGGUCGGUCACACUGACACUGACAUACGGGUCAGACUCCUACGGGAGGCAGCAGUCGGGAAUUUUGGGCAAUGGGCGAAAGCCUGACCCAGCAACGCCGCGUGAAGGAUGAAAUCCCUCGGGAUGUAAACUUCGCAAGAUUGGGAAGAAUUAGUAGGGGUUGAUACCCCCUAUGAUGACGGUACCUUUUGUAAGCUCCGGCUAACUCCGUGCCAGCAGCCGCGGUAAUACGGGGGGAGCAAGCGUUGUUCGGAUUUACUGGGCGUAAAGGGCGCGUAGGCGGUCAGCACAAGUCAGUUGUGAAAUCUCCGGGCUUAACUCGGAACGGUCAACUGAUACUGUGCGACUAGAGUGCAGAAGGGGCAACUGGAAUUCUCGGUGUAGCGGUGAAAUGCGUAGAUAUCGAGAGGAACACCUGCGGCGAAGGCGGGUUGCUGGGCUGACACUGACGCUGAGGCGCGAAAGCCAGGGGAGCGAACGGGAUUAGAUACCCCGGUAGUCCUGGCCUUAAACGAUGGAUGCUUGGUGUCUGGAGUUAUAUAGUCUCCGGGUGCCGCAGCUAACGCGUUAAGCAUCCCGC
rnacentral:rRNA from 1 species